AGAGUUUGAUCCUGGCUCAGGACGAACGCUGGCGGCGUGCCUAACACAUGCAAGUCGAGCGAUGAAACCCUUCGGGGUGGAUUAGCGGCGGACGGGUGAGUAACACGUGGGUAACCUGCCUCAAAGAGGGGGAUAGCCUCCCGAAAGGGAGAUUAAUACCGCAUAACAUUAGCUUUUCGCAUGGAGAGCUAAUUAAAGGAGUAAUCCGCUUUGAGAUGGACCCGCGGCGCAUUAGCUAGUUGGUGAGGUAAAGGCUCACCAAGGCGACGAUGCGUAGCCGACCUGAGAGGGUGAUCGGCCACAUUGGAACUGAGACACGGUCCAGACUCCUACGGGAGGCAGCAGUGGGGAAUAUUGCACAAUGGGCGAAAGCCUGAUGCAGCAACGCCGCGUGAGUGAUGAAGGCCUUCGGGUUGUAAAGCUCUGUCUUUGGGGACGAUAAUGACGGUACCCAAGGAGGAAGCCACGGCUAACUACGUGCCAGCAGCCGCGGUAAUACGUAGGUGGCGAGCGUUGUCCGGAUUUACUGGGCGUAAAGGAUGCGUAGGUGGAUGUUUAAGUCAGAUGUGAAAUACCCGAGCUUAACUUGGGUGCUGCAUUUGAAACUGGAUAUCUAGAGUGCAGGAGAGGUAAGUGGAAUUCCUAGUGUAGCGGUGAAAUGCGUAGAGAUUAGGAAGAACACCAGUGGCGAAGGCGACUUACUGGACUGUAACUGACACUGAGGCAUGAAAGCGUGGGUAGCAAACAGGAUUAGAUACCCUGGUAGUCCACGCCGUAAACGAUGAGUACUAGGUGUAGGGGGGUCCAACCUUCUGUGCCGCAGUUAACACAAUAAGUACUCCGCCUGGGAAGUACGAUCGCAAGAUUAAAACUCAAAGGAAUUGACGG
rnacentral:rRNA from 1 species